rnacentral:rRNA from 1 species
UACGGAGGGUGCAAGCGUUGUCCGGAUUUAUUGGGUUUAAAGGGUGCGUAGGCGGCUAAUUAAGUCAGUGGUGAAAGCCUGUAGCUCAACUAUAGAACUGCCAUUGAUACUGGUUAGCUUGAGUACGGUAGAGGUAAGCGGAAUGGAUGGUGUAGCGGUGAAAUGCAUAGAUAUCAUCCAGAACACCGAUAGCGAAGGCAGCUUACUGGGCCGUUACUGACGCUGAGGCACGAAAGCAUGGGGAGCAAACAGG